AUUGAACGCUGGCGGCAGGCCUCACACAUGCAAGUCGCACGAGUGGCGGACGGGUGAGUAAUGUCUGGGAAACUGCCUGAUGGAGGGGGAUAACUACUGGAAACGGUAGCUAAUACCGCAUACCAUCAGAUGUGCCCAGAUGGGAUUGACUUGUUGGUGGGGUAACGGCUCGCCAAGGCGACUAUCCCUAGCUGGACUGAGAGGAUGACCAGCCAAACUGGAACUGAUACACGGUCCAGACUCGUACGGGAGGCAGCAGUGGGGAAUAUUGCACAAGGGGCGAAAGCCUGAUGCAGCCAGGCGGCGUGUAUGAAGAAGGCCUUCGGUUUGUAAAGUACUUUCAGCGGGGAGGCGUUACCCGCAGAAGAAGCACCGGCUAACGCCGUGCCAGCAGCCGCGGUAAUUC
rnacentral:rRNA from 1 species